GCGAAUGCUUUCGUUAGUUGUUCAUGAAAGUGCAUGUUGUUUGAUAGACUUUCACCUCCCCUUCCAAGCAAAUAUAUUUGCUAUUUCUAGUUUAACGAAGUCUUCUCUCGCCUCGCCUUUUCGUAGUUGAAGCUGUUGCCGCCUGGGAAUACUCCCUCACGUCAUGCUUGGCAAUUGAUUUAAACCUUACCCUUGAAAUGUUCAAUGGAAUAUUCAACAGGAUAGGAGCCAGAGACUUCAGGAAAAUUUUUCUUCCCACCAAUUAUUGCCAAGCUCUCUGCAGUUGCGGAUUUGUCAACAUCUCCCUGGUCUCCUGAACUGCGCAUUCAUUUAUCUCACCACUCCACAUUGACAACUUCGCUACUGUCUGUUGCUAUCGAGUAUCUGCAGCUGCCGCAGGCCAAUAAUCUAGGACUGCAUAUGGAUGUCUCACAUCAUUCAGCUAUUGCAAAGAUGCAGUAAUCCAAGCAAGGAGUAUGAGAUAAGCACGCAAGAGAACUGAAUCGCUGUCCUGGCCUCACAUAGAACAGUUACUAUGACAUCCACUUUCUGGCUGUUCUUGAAAUAGUUACAAUUUCCUAUGAUUUAUUCAUCUCAGUUGGAUGAGUGUGAUUGGCGACUCAUCAUGACUCCUAAAUGGUAUGAUUGUUUGUUUUGUCUGAUUCGGCAUGAGGAGUGUCAUCGUGUUUGUUGCUGUAAACUCACUACAGUAGAAUGAAGUCAGCCUUAGAAUUGAAUGUGUAAAACUGC